UGAAACUAAUAGAAAGGAAUGUUUGGGUUAUGAUGAUAAGUGGUUGUAGAGACCAAAGUUUUAUCAUGCAGAUGAAGCCUCCAGGCUUCAGAGAGACAGAA